rfam:HIV-1 isolate 99TGF03726 from Tganda, partial genome.
UUUUUUAGGGAGAGCUUGGCCUUCCCUCAAGGGAAGGCCGGGGAACUUCCUC